AAUUUGCAUCGAUGUAAUUCAUCCGAUGUAAUGAAAAUCCGAUGUAACAGCAAAAAUCAGAUGCAUAAUAGCACAUUUUUGAUGUUAUAUUACAUCGCCCUGAAAUUACACGGAAACAAGAUUAUCAUUUCUCAUUACAUGGUUCUUGCGUAAUAUUCACAUCUAAAAUAUAGAAAUAUUACACACAAACCGCUGCAACCAAGUCAUUCCGACGAACGUUGUCAUAUUACACAGAUUCGAAUGUUAUUUUGCAUCUCUCAUUGAUGCGAUAGUAAGUCUCGCAACACUGCCAUAGUUUGUUUUGCGCAUCAUGGCGGUCGAUGUGGCAAUCGUUGCAGUUCGUGUUGUUUUGAGUUUCGUUGCGGCUUUUGGUACGGCUCAUCUCGGUCGCAGUAGCUGUAAAUUCGGACACUUUCUUCGGAUCCAUCACCUUCCUCGUUCGGAAGCAGAAGGUUCCGGUGCCACUCAUAUCCAGGAUGGAAGGAACAGACUUGGAAUACAAGUCCGAACGUAGGUAUUGGGGGAAGUGGGGAUGAUUCCCCAUGGCAGGAGGAUGGAAGUACAAUGGCAGAGAAGCCUACGGAUUUUUGUUGUGUACCUGGAUGAGCUGGAGAAAGUAACCAAUUACAUCCAUGAAUGCCCGAUCCGGUGAAUCCCUAAUACAGCCAACCAACGAUAACGAUACAGAUUGGUACGAAAAACAUGAACGGGCUCUGUGAAUCAUUGAACUGGUUGCUGAGGGGACCAAACCACAUCCUCGAGUGCACGUAUCUAAUCUGGAAGGGUUCACUGCGGUUCCUCGGAUUCAUGAUUUGAAGCCUCCCAGCCUUAUGCUCUACAUUUGAAUAAUUCUCCAAUAAAUAUGUAAUACCUAAAUGCUGCAAUAAAAAUAAUUGAUAAUUGAAAUGA